UAGGGGGCAAGCGUUAUCCGGAAUUACUGGGUGUAAAGGGUGAGUAGGUGGCAUGGUAAGCCAGAUGUGAAAGCCUUGGGCUUAACUCGAGGAUUGCAUUUGGAACUAUCAAGCUAGAGUACAGGAGAGGAAAGCGGAAUUCCUAGUGUAGCGGUGAAAUGCGUAGAUAUUAGGAAGAACACCAGUGGCGAAGGCGGCUUUCUGGACUGAAACUGACGCUGAGGCACGAAAGCGUGGGGAGCGAA
rnacentral:rRNA from 1 species